rnacentral:rRNA from 1 species
GAUGAACGCUGGCGGCGUGCCUAAUACAUGCAAGUCGAGCGAACAGACGAGGAGCUUGCUCCUCUGACGUUAGCGGCGGACGGGUGAGUAACACGUGGAUAACCUACCUAUAAGACUGGGAUAACUUCGGGAAACCGGAGCUAAUACCGGAUAAUAUAUUGAACCGCAUGGUUCAAUAGUGAAAGACGGUUUUGCUGUCACUUAUAGCUGGAUCCGCGCCGCAUUAGCUAGUUGGUAAGGUAACGGCUUACCAAGGCGACGAUGCGUAGCCGACCUGAGAGGGUGAUCCGCCACACGGGAACUGAGACACGGUCCAGACUCCUACGGGGGGCAGCAGUAGGGAAUCUUCCGCAAAGGGCGAAAGCCUGACGGAGCAACGCCGCGUGAGUGAUGAAGGUCUUCGGAUCGUAAAACUCUGUUAUUAGGGAAGAACAAAUGUGUAAGUAACUAUGCACGUCUUGACGGUACCUAAUCAGAAAGCCACGGCUAACUACGUG